GGCUUUGGCUGUGAAAGGAGGAGGGUGUGCGCCGCCGCUCUCUCUCUCCCUCCCUUUCUCUCGCCCCUUAUCACGUGUUUUCAAGUAAAACGGUAAAAAAAAAAAAUGAAUGUGGAAAAAAGAAAAUCGGGAGUGGAAACCCAUAAUUUUAAGAGUGAAUAAGUAAAUAUAAAGGAAAAUAACGUAGAGAAUAAGAGUAAGUUUUAACAAGAAGAAUGCAAAAGAGGUAAAACGUGUUAGCAAAUACAAAAGAACAGAAUUUUAAGGAAGAAGGAAAAGUGAAUUGUAUAUGAAAAAAAAAACUUUGAAUGAAAUAACGUAGAGAAUAAGAGUAAAUUUUAACUAGAAGAAUGCAAAAGAG